AUCCUCCAUCUUCUCCUUCUCUAUGAUCCCAACUCCAUUGUCACCCCACCUCUUCUUUCUCUGCAAUGUACCCAUUUCCUCAUUUCUCACUCCCUUCUUAAAUUUUCCAUCUGGGUUUUGCUGGCUUUUGUUUGGUCUCUGAGAUUCUGGCUGAAAUCGUGGUCUAUUCGGUGGCGAGUCUUCUCUGUUUGGAUUGCAUUGAUCUUGUACAUUUUUCCGUCUGGAUCUGUUUGGUUUGGUUGGUUUUGACUGCAUUUUCUCCUAGUUGUUGCUGUGCUCUUGGAUUCUCCAUUUGGGUGCAAUUGGGUCUGUGAUUUUUCUGAUUGGAGCGUGUGAUCUGGGGCUUCUAGUGCCUUUGCUCAGUUAGUAAAGCAGCAGAAGGCACCAUUUGUUCAAGACCGUAGUUCAAACAUUUAGGAGCCAUUUGGGGGUUGACAGCAAACAGGGUUACAAGUCAUUCGUAAAAUUCAACAUUCCUCCUUGGGGUGGAAAAGCUGUGCUAAGAAGAAAGGAGGAAGCUAGUGUUUGGAAGCUGUGGGGGUCUCUUUGCGGGAGGUUUUGCAGGAGAGAGAGAGAGCUGGGUGAGAGGAAAACUGUACGAGCUGUGAGGGCCACCCACUUCUCUCACUCGGGCAUCAGGAAGUUCUUUUCUGAGUUUGCCCUCCAGACGAGAGAAUCCCUAAAAAGGCCUUAUUUUCCUCUGCCACUCUCAAUCCUCGCAGUCUGUGGGGUGCUUUGUCUGGUCAAGGGCACCUAGAGUUGUUCUCUUACAUUAAAGGCCUCCCCUGCUUCAAAUCCACUCAGUAGAUGUUUUCUUCAUCCUUGAUGAACUGAGGUUAAUACAAUGCCCCUAUUCCAUUCAUAUUUCUCGGAGCAAAUACUUCACUUUUAUGUAGGUUUUUCAGACUUCAUUAGCAAAUGUGAGUCACCUAGGUACUAGGUAGUAAAAAUGAGAGUCGGGAGUUGUAGUGGAGGGAUAAAAGCGUUGCCUUUGUAUUGUCACAACACUUAUUGGUGAUCCAAAGAUGAUCAUUUUAGAUGAAUUAGUAUGUAGACUAAGACUUCUUCUUGGUGCAUGUUUCUAUAUUUUAUUUGCUUUAUAAUUUAUAUGAUUUUUAUUUUUAUUUUUAGACAAUUGGUAUGGAUCCAAUAACAAGAAGGCAUGUGUGGGGCAUAAUAGAGAAUGCAAAGAAAUGGUUGCUAUUGAGUGUGAUAUUAGGACAAUGACAUACCAUUUUUUUGCAUUGUCUAUUAUGUCCCACACAUGCCUCCUUGUUAUUGGAUCCAUACUAAUUGUCUAGAAAUAAAAAGAAACUCCAUAUGAAUUAUAAAACAAAUAAAUUAAAGAAAUAUGAACCAAGGAAAGUCUCUAGUCUACAUACCAAUUAAUCUAAAAUGACAAACUUUGGAUCACCAAUAAGUGUUGUGGCAAUACUAAGAUAGCGUUUCAUUCCUCCACUAUAACUCCCAACUCUCA